GAGAGAGAGAGAGACAGAGAGAAAGGUCUUCCUUUUUCCAUUGGUUCACCCUCCAAGUGGCUGCUACAGCCUGCAUGCUGUGGCCGGUGUGCUGCACCGACCCGAAGCCAGGAGCCAGGUGCUUCCUCCUGGUCUCCCAUGCGGGUGCAGGGCCCAAGCACUUGGGCCAUCCUCCACUGCACUCCCAGGCCACAGCAGAGAGCUGGACUUGAAGUGGAGCAACCGGGACAGAAUCCGACGCCCCGACCUGGACUAGAACCUGGGAUGCCAGCACCGCAGGCGGAGGAUUAGCCUAGUGAGCUGCGGCACCAGCCCUUAAGAAACACCCAAACUAACACAGUAGAAAGGACGGAAGGACGGAAGGACGGAAGGAAGGAAGGAAGGAAGGAACAAGUGAAUGAAACAGGGAAGGAAGCAGAGAGAGAAGGAUGGAGCUUCAGGAGUCCCAUGAUGCCCCGGGUCACCUCUGCAAUAACUGGAGGAACACCUUUGUUAAGGAGAUACCUCGUGCCAAACUCCUUAGGCCAAAACCAACCAAAAAGAGAUUUUCUUUGAAGAUACUAGAUUGGUAAAACACUUUAAGUGACAACGAGGGACCAGAAGAAAAGCACUGCUUUCUUUUACUGUAAUGCCGCGUGGGACUUUAAACACAGGUUUCAGGAAGAAGGGGUUGUUGCUUGGAUUGUAGUGUCCUUGACCUUUGGAUGCUAGAGCAGGCUCACCGGUAAGGACUUAGAUUGUUUAUCCUUUUCACAUCUUGAUUAUUGAGGCUACAAUAAAGAACUUUCCCUCUUUUCACCCAGAGGUUAUUUCAAAGCCCAUAGCUAUUCAGUAUGCACAUUUCUUUGAUGGCAGUAGAAACAAUCCAUUACCCUCCUAUCCUAGUUAUUUCCUCAUCUACAUCUACCACUUUACUGAAACUGCUCUCUUAACUGUUACUCCAAAAUGAAUAACCUCAGUCAAUCUUCAUUCUCCCAGACAACUACUGAAGCUUAGUGUGACUGCCCCUUCUUCCUUCUCCAAACCCUCCUCCUUUGCUGUGCCUGGCACUGUCACACUGCUUCUUCCCCUUUCCUGUUUUAUUUUUGUUACAAUAAUCUUUCUGCCUUCCUCCCUCUUUAGACUAGACAUUUUCCACCCUCCACAUUUUUGUUUUCUGGACUAUGAGCUCUUUCCUAUGGUUUCAUCUACUGUUUCUGGGAACUAAAAAUCUGUUUCACUCUGAUUUGAGGUGUGAGUUGAACUUUUGAGCUUCUAAUUGCUUUCUAUAUGUUUAUAAUGUGUGUAUUUGGUGCCAGGUGAGGUGAAAGUUGUGUUUGCAGUGAGCAUACUUUGUCGAAACAUAGCUUUCAGCUGUGAAAGUAGACAUUUCCUUUGGAACAGAUCUUUGCUUUCUUAAGCUGUACAGAUAUAAGGCUAGUAGUUAAUCUUGGGGUAGUUUGAAUGAUGGUAAAGCUAUCUAAGAUAGAGCUGGCAAGUGUUCUGUUUAAGAAGAUAAAAUAUUCUCAUGUAUCUAUGUGGACACUACAGAUUGUUUUAUGACAAUAAAUUUGAAAAUUCAGAUGAAAUAAACAAGUAUUUGAAAACCACAGCUUGUACACAUUGAUGCAAGAGAACAAAGUCUUUAUUGAUGUAUUAAAGAAAUUGAAUUCCUCAUUUAAAACUUUCUUAGAAAGAAGUAUCCAGGCCCGCUGAGUGCUCCAGAUAUCUAAGGAAGAAACACUACCAAUGGCCAGUUACCAGGCUAUUACAUAAAAGGAUCUGCAAGCUAAUCUUACUCAUGAAUAGAAAGGCAAAAAUCCUAACUACACUAUUAGCCACAAGAAUUCCACAAUAUAGUAACAUGCACACCAUAACACCACACAAAAUGUAAAUUCCAAAUGGAUUAGAGCCCCAAGUGAGAAAAGUAACUCAAUAAAUCUAGAUAAUAACAAGAAGAACAUUGUAAUGACUAAGAUAUUCUUGAACAGGCAAAUAAUUUUUUUGAGAUUGCUUUCCUUCUUUCUUUGAAAGGGAGAAAGAGAGAGAGAGAGAGAGAGAGAGAGAGAGAGAGAGAGAGAGAAAGGUCUUCUAUCUGCUAGUUCAUUCCUCCAAAUGACUGCAACAGCUAGGGCUGGGCUAAGCUGAAGGCAGGAGCUGAGAAUUCUGUCCUGGUCUUCCACACGGGUAGCAGGAACCCAGGUACUUGGGCCAUCUUCUGCUGCUUUCUCAGGCACAUUAGCAGAAGUUGGAUCAGUAGCAAAACAGCUGGAACUUGAACCAGUGCUUUGAUACAGGAUUCUAGCAUUGCAGGAGACAGUUUAAUCCACUCACCACAACACUGCCCUGGGCAAAGAUUUCUUAAGGAGGACAUAAGAGACUCUAAUUAUAAAAGAAAAGAUGGAUAAAUUAGACUACAUUACAAAUUAAGAUUUUCAAUGACAAGGAGGUAGGAACACUUAUUACUUUGAUUUGAUCAGUAUAAAUUAUAUACAUGUAUUAAAAUAUCAUGCUGUACACAUAAAUAUAUAUCAUUAUUAUGUUAAUUUUAAAAGAAAAAAAGGGGUGGACAUUUGGUCUAGUGCUUAAGUUGCCAGUGAAGAUGGCCCUAUCUGACAUGAUAGUAGCUGGUUUGAGUCCUGACUCCAGCUCCUAACUCUGGUUUCCUGUCAAAGCACACCCUGAGGCAAAGGGGUGAUGGACAGGUACUUAGGUUGUGGCUACCCUUGUGGGAGACCUGGAUUGUGUUUCCAGCUCCCAGUUUUAGCUGUGGCCAGUCCUGGCUAUUGUGAGUAUUUGGGGAGUAAAACAGAAGAUGGAGGUACUCUCGCAUCAAUCAAUAAAAUUUUAAAAGAGAAAAACAAAAACCAAAACACUAAAAUUUUGUUUUUAUUUUAUUCCCUAAAAGAUGUCUUUUAUUCCCUAAAAGAUAUCUUUAAGAUAUGAGUACCAAAUAACUGUUAUUAGCUUUAACAUAAAAAAUCAUAAAGAAUGAUAGAGAAAACAUUUCUUUUUCUAUGACCCAACCUAAGAAUAAAUAAAUCUUUAUGUGGUGUGUAUUACAGGUAUAGCUGUUGCCUGCUGAGUCUCCUGCUUCCCAUUCUCCACUCUAAUUUUUAUCUCAUGCCUUCCUGUUCCCAGGACUAACCGCGCUCUCUCCCUGCUCAUCUCUCCCUGCAGGUCUUUAUAUUUUAUAGGCGAUGUAACUCCAAAUAAGAGCUUCUUACUCAGGGUUCCCACAGGAAUGUGGGGCACACUCAGCAGCUCUGUGAAGGAGAGCUGCCAAAUGAACUAUUUGCAGAGGAGUGGUAGGAUGUGGACUAGAGACACUGGAAUGAGCAGGGCUCUAGAACUCGUUUGGAGUUCCAUUCCCCUCUCGCCUAAAGAGUCAAAAAGGCACUCAAAGAAAGAACAUACUGGGAAUAGGCUGCCUGAUGGAGCUAGACUUUUGGCCAAGGGAGGUUUCAGUCUAUGAAGCCUUACAGAAAGGAGUCAAGGGAAUGGCAUCGCUGAUACCGCAUUGCUGCCUCAGGCUCCUCAUUUGCAGAACUCAGUUGAGUGCAAAAGUCAGAGAAUCCAGUGCCGCAGUGGACAGAGUUCCAUGUGCAGUACAGCUAGGUGCAAGGCAGGUGUGCUCCCCUGUCAAACAGCCCACAUUCAUGCUACUCUGUGUGUUCUACUGUUAUAUAAAAUUUAUCAUGAUCUCUCUAUACUUUUGCCACUUGUUUUCCCCCAUACUUUUCCAGAACUUUUUCCAAACUUAGUAUUUUUCUUAACAUACAUUUUUUCUUUCUACCUAAGAUAAAUUUAAGUCAAGAAGCACAUUCUGCUCUGUUCAGUCUUGUAGCCAGGAAUGAUCUCCAAAUUUCAACACUGCACUGCCCUACUGGACAGCUUGCUGCUGAGUCUAGGCUCUGACUUUUUUGGGUAUACCAGAGCUAGGAUGAUUGUCACAGCAGCUUCUGGUGGCAACUGCCUUUGCUACAUCCUUGCAUUCUCUUCAGCUGGUUUCAGACUGUGUUUUAACAUGAGUAUAUUGCAGAAACCCAGGUCAUGAGGCUGCACUGUAUUUCCAAGAGAUGCUGGGGAAGCAAAUUUCUAAGUGUCUCUUUUGGAGGGGUACAAGUUCUAUAACAGAGGAAGGGUUAAAAACACCUCAAAGACAGCCAAGGAAGCUUGACAAUGCUCCAUAUCUCUCUGAGUCCAUUUUGUGUUGCUAUGACAAAAUACUUAUGACUGAGUACUUUAUAAGGAAAACGGCUUGUUUGGCUUACAAUUCAGUUGGCUGCAAAGUCCAAACAAUAUGGCUUCUGGCACCUGGCUGUGUGACAACAUGGUAGAGAAGCAGGAAGAGAAACAGCUGCAGGCAGGAGGGGCACAUGUUCACAUGGGAAGCAAGAGAGGAAGAACCAGGCACCCCUCCCACCAACCCCCCUUUUUAAAGCUGGUAUAACAACCUGCGGUUGUAGAAACUAAUCCAUCCCAAAAGACCUGAUCCACUCCCAUAAGACAGCAUUAAUCCAUUCAUGAGGGCAUGUCCUCAUGAUCUAAUUACCCUCUUUUAAUCUCAGAGGUUCUACUACUGCACAACCGCCACAUUGGAGACCAGCUUUCAGCAUGGGUACUUUUGGGGGACAAACACAUACAAACAAGAACUGUCCAUCCCCUACCAGCUGCCUCUUUCACUAGAAUUCCCAUCUUAACAUAUUAUAGUGUUGAUUCAAACACAAGGCCCCAAGCCUGAGUCCAAUCUUGGAAGUUCAGCCCUUCACUGAGAGUGCUUGCCUUUGAGUGAAGCCCCUGGACUACCCAGAAUCCCCUUUGACCCAGGUUUCUUUGAUGCUAAUCAAUGCUACCAUUGAAUUAGCCAUUGGUUUUGCCUUUGAUGCCUGGGAUUUUGCUAAAAUAAUAUGAAACACAAUUUUGUUGUUGGCCAUCUCACAUUUUCACUCCAUUAUUUUGUCUUGUCUCUUUAUUAAAAUUUCAGGGAUCCUUAGAGGAGUGAGUAAUAAUCAUUUUCAUAGGAACUAGCAUGUUGCUAUGAACAUAGGAUGUAUAAAACUUUACUGUUUGGUAAUUCCAUGGUUUCAAACUUGAGAGAUAAUGAUUAUACUCAAGUGUAGUUUUACAAAUAAAUACACAUGCAAUCUGCUCUACAGACCAUGAUACAAAACAGUUUACACAGUCCCAAUACCUAGUGCUCUAGGAGGACAUUUAUUACUUAUUAAUAUGUCUUACAGUUCCCGUCUUCCUCCCUUCCAGGUUUGUCUUAGAUUGUAUAGAGGAUAAAGUCUGGGAGCUACAUGAUAUUCACAAAAAACCAAGGGGAGAAGAAACUUAGGGUAAUACAAUGUUUAAUCUUUUUGAAACACAAAGAAUAUAGCUAAAAAGUCUUCUUUAGGGAGAAUUUACACCGAGUCAGAUACAUAAAAUUGGGUAGGUAAGACCUCUCAAAGAACUUUUGCAGUUGGAAUAUAUUGGUAGCUCCCUUGGAGAUUCCUAAAAUAUGGUCUUGGGAAUGACCAGCUGACCAACAAUGCUUCCAAUGCCCAUGGGGCACAGGAAGUGGGCCAAUGAAUGACAGUCUUAUGCCUGUGUUGACUACUCACCAUUUUCUAUGCCUUGCUGAGGUGGGUAUGCUGAUGAAUACUGGUGUUUGAAAAACAUCCGUGGAGAGAGGGUGAGGCAGCAGAUUUAGCCACAGGGAAGUCUCCUUACAUCCAUGCCAUGACCCAGUUCCUGCAAUAGAACACAUUUGGGGUACUCAGGAAAAGUACCAACAAAAACUAUGACAGCUUAGCAGAAUAAAUAUAGGGCCAUAAGCCUUUAAUAAGUCUAGGAAGAAAAAACCAUAUCCCAGCUUGUAUAAAGGAAGAGGUAUAACAAGGUAAUUAAUUUGAUUGGUGAUUGAGAGCGGAAAUGCUGGUGGUUUGUGUUAUGUAGGCAGCAUGGAUAUCCAGGAGUUGCAGCAAGCAGGAUUGGAAAUGAAAUCAAUCAGGGCUGGUGCCGCAGCUCACUAGGCUAGUCCUCCACCUGUGGCACUGUCACCCCGGGUUCUAGUUCUGGUUGGGGCGCUGGAUUCUGUCCUGGUUGCUCCUCUUCCAGUCCAGCUCUCUGCUGUGGCCCGAGAGUGCAGUGGAGGAUGGCCCGAGUGCUUGGGCCCUGCACCCACGAUGGAGACCAGAAGGAAGCACCUGGCUCCUGGCUUCAGAUCAGUGCAGCACACCGGCCAUAGCGGCCAUUUGGGGGGUGUACCAACGAAAGGAAGACCUUUCUCUCUGUCUCUCUCUCUAACUGUCUAACUCUGCCUGUCAAAAAAAAUCAAUCAGAAACCCAGUAUAAAUUGAGGUUUCCCAGAAUGCUAUCUUGUGUAUUAGUAUUUAUUAAGCACUCAUUAGGUGUAAAUGGAGGUCCCAGUGGCAUCAAAACAGAGAUGCUCUCUGCGCUCUAAGAGAGAAAUGUGUGGCACUACAGUAAAAGCUCCAUUGUGGCAGUGACUGUUUAUUGCUGUGUUGUCAGCACCUAGAACACUGCCCAGUACUUCAAUAAAUAUGCAGUGAGUAAAUGAAUAAAUUAUCUCUUAAGUGGUUUUGUCAGUUCCUUUUGUCUGCAAUAUUUAACUUGAAAUAGGCAAGUCAAACCGUGAGGACCUGGAUUAGCUUGUGGAUGUAUAGUCUUACUGAAGCAUGAGGCUUUGAGAUUGGGCAGGUGUGAAGAAUGGAUGACAGUUGGAGGCUCACAUAGAUUCUGUUUGCUAAGCUGAAGAAAGGCAAGGGAGAACACGGUGAACAGAAGAAACACUAUAAAGAUCUCACAAAGUAAAACUUUAUAUGACUCAGAGUAACUUGGGAAUUCCAUGUGAUAAUAGACAGAUCCAUUUUACUUGUUUUGGUUAUAAGUAUAGCUAUUUAUGAAUAAUGGUAAUGAGCAGAGAAUGAUUUUAAAUGGCACAGUCACAAAUAGCUGUGGGCUCUGCAAAUAGGGUUACAGCUGCCAACCAUAGCAUAGUUCUUCUGUGUGUACAGUGUGGUAAGAACAGUUGGCCAGCCACAGGUUUUUUUCAGCCACACCUGUUCACCCAGAUAAUAGUCACCAGCAGCAGUACCUCUGAGUGUAAAGAUAAAUAUAUAUUUUGUAUGUCUGUGUUAUCAGUGUUUAUAACUAUACACACAAUUUGUAAAUUAGGGAGUGAGACUGACUGAUUUUGUUAGUUUGAAAGAAGAAUAUGACCCAUUGUAUAUCCCAGGUGGUAACUGACAAAUCUUACUUAAAUAGAUGGAUCUCUUAGUUGGGAUGAUGCCUUCUGAGUCAUUAGCAUGGUUUCAUUUAUGUGCUCAAUACUGGGAGAACCUUGGUAUGAAAUGACUCAUUAAUUAUAUUAAGUCAGUUAUGUCAUGGGUCAAAUCACAGCUCCUGAAGUACAAACCCACAUGUAACAAAGCCUGAAACAAUGCAAUUGCCCCAUUAAUCAUUCACUCAUUCAAUAAUUCAUUCAUUUGCUCAUUCAACAAAUACAUAUCAAGUGCCUCCUAAGCUGGAUGGAUUAUGGGUAACGUGAAUAUGAAUAAUUCAUAAUCUUUGUCUAUAAUUAUCCUGAGAAAACUAGUUUUAUCUUGUGAGACUGGUAUUCUUAAAACAUCCUAUUGAAUUUUUGUGGCAGUAAUAUUAGCUACUAUAAAAUAUUUUCCCAUUAGGUUUUUUAAAAAAUUUUUGUGGUAUCCUCUAAAAGUAUGUUUUAGAAUAUCUGAAUUUUUAAACAAAAAUAAAAUAAAGGGUCAGUGCUAAGCAUCAGUGUGCUAUUUGGAUUUAACAAACCUGUUAUGUGCCUUCACUAUAAUUAUAAAGUUUAAAAAUGUGUACCUACAGGGUAAAAACUUGUUAGAGCUGCUUGUCUCUCAGCUCAGACUUAAUCCAGGCUAUUAACUAUGAUUAAAAUUUAAGGUGCUUAAUUGUCAUGGUUUAAGAUAUGUCUGUGCACACUAAAACAUGCUUAAAUAUAGUAGGUUUUUCUGGUUAAAGUCACAGAAGAGGUAAAACUUGCCUGCUAUUCUCUUCAUAUUUGAGAAUAAGGGGUUACUAGGUUGAAACUAUUUAAACAAAUAAAUGAUUUCUUAUUCUCCAGAAGGUGAGAAUGUUAGUUAUUCAUUGCUGCUUACCAAAUCACUCCAUAACUUUCCAACCUAAAAUAAGAAUUGCUUAAUUGGAUCACAAUUUUCUGGAGCAGUGGAAUGGCUCUUGCAUUCUGAGUCUGUUUUGUUCAUGUUUACUGUCUACUUGGCAGCGCAGCUGAAGCUGGGUUGUUGAGAAUGUUUUCAUUUGUAUGCUUGUUGCAUGGAAGAUUGGCUGUGUGUAGAGCCCUUAAUUUGGGGUGGCUCAUUUCUGUCCCUCAUGAUCUAUCAUUCUCUAGUGGGCUAGCCUGGGCUUGUUCACACUGUGGUUGAAAAUUUCCCAGAAGCACAUAAGCCCUUUUAAGUCUCUGCCUGUAUCAUGCUUGCUAAUGGCUCUUUGACCAAACCAAGUUCAAAACAAAUAAACAAACCUCCCAGGAUUUAAAAAGCUGGGUAAAGAUUUUUCCCUCUUUUUGGGACGAACAACAUGUCUUAUUGCAUGGGGAUAUGCUUGUGCUUAAAGAAAUUGAGAAAUUGAUAGUCAUUUAUUUGCAAUAUGCUUUAAAACUAUGCUUUAUUUUUUGUCAAUGAGUGUCAGUGAGCAUACUAUAUAAAUAGUAAAUGAUCAGUAGGUUGCUUCAGGUUUUUGAAGUUUUUAAAAAGAGAAAGUAUCUCCAAUCUAGUUUUCUGAAUCUAGAAACUUUUUAGAAAUGUAAUAUUUACUUACAAUUAGAGACUGAGAAACAGUUCCUCAGAAAGAGCAUAAAAUUCAAAAAAUUAUUUUGAGUAGAAAAACUGGGAUGUGUUGAUUAGGAU